rnacentral:precursor_RNA from 17 species
CGUUACCUGCAGACAUUCCUCCAGACUGUCAGAUCUUUUGUUCUUUUUAAUAUUGAGUUACGAUAUGUUUAAGACGAACAGAAGAUUUUGCAGUUUGGGGGAUUAGCGCCUGGCCUGAAG